AACGAACGCUGGCGGCAGGCUUAACACGUGCAAGUCGAGCGCCCCGCAAGGGGAGCGGCAGACGGGUGAGUAACGCGUGGGAAUCUACCGUGCCCUACGGAAUAGCUCCGGGAAACUGGAAUUAAUACCGUAUACGCCCUACGGGGGAAAGAUUUAUCGGGGUAUGAUGAGCCCGCGUUGGAUUAGCUAGUUGGUGGGGUAAAGGCCUACCAAGGCGACGAUCCAUAGCUGGUCUGAGAGGAUGAUCAGCCACGUUGGGACUGAGACACGGCCCAAACUCAUACGGGAGGCAGCAGUGGGGAAUAUUGGACAAUGGGCGAAAUCCUGAUCCAGCCAUGCCGCGUGAGUGAUGAAGGUCUUAGGAUUGUAAAGCUCUUUCACCGGUGAAGAUAAUGACGGUAACCGGAGAAGAAGCCCCGGCUAACUUCGUGCCAGCCGCCGCCGUAA
rnacentral:rRNA from 1 species